GCUUUCCUCAGGCUCUAAGGCCCGCGGUGUGGAGCGCGGCGUAGGCAGCGGGGAGUGGGCGGCGCGGGGUGGGUGGAGUGGGUCGGCGGCGGGGAUCCUGCCGAGCCCGCAGCUGCCCUCUUUUAGCGCCGUGUCUCCUCCCCGGCCCUGGCUCGUCCCACCUCAGCCACAGCCCGGCCCCCUGGCCGGCCGAGGUCUCGCCGCCGGCGCCCUGGGGACCUCGUGGGUGUGGCCGGCGGCGACCUCGGCAGGCGACAGCCCAGCAGACGGGCACCAGGUGGACGUGCCAGUCUCCAGACCCCCGUCCCGGUGCAGGGAAGGUGGGCGUUUGGACCCCUGAGGCAGAAACAGGUGCGGCCCCGCCGGCGCAUCCCCCGGAAGGGACGCUGACUUCGUUCCCCUGGAGCCUGCGUCGGGGCCCGCGCUGGGCUGAGAAUUACGGGAACGCCGUGAGAGUUUGCAUUCCGAGGAUUUGGUCUGAGAACCUCACCAGCGAAAUAGAGAACUGCCCCCGGGAGAGCCGGCCCACGUGCCGCCCACCGGCGCCUUGACGGCAGGGAGAGGUCGAGCUUCCAGGGAGCGGGCGCCCGGCGCGGGGCUCCCAGCCUGUCUGUACCUGGUCGAGACACCCCGUGCCAGAGGCGGAACAUGUAUGAAAUGCCAGGUGCCCAGAGGACCCAGGCAGUCCGUCAUUCACAUACCAACCCACGUGCAGGCUUCAAUUCAACCUUGAAGCCAUUUGGGCCUGGGCUUUUUUGAUGACUUAUUUGAUUCAUAGUUUUUUGGUUACUAAUUGAGUCUCUUCACUUGUUAUAGGUCUGUUGAGAUUGUCUAUUUUUUCUUGAGUCAGCCGUCUGAAAAGAACACGAGGUGGACAGGGCAGAGCGGUCAAGGAAAGCCAUAGGAGGAGGGCACUUAUUUGAGCAAAGACCGGCGGGACGUGGGCGUCGAGGCUGCCCUAUCUAGAAGCUCCAGUACAAUAUUGACUAGAAGCAGCAAGAGUGGACAUCCUUGUCUUGCUCCUGAUUUCAGGGAGGAGGCAUCCAGUCUUUCACCUUUGGAUGGCUGUUCACUGUAUCAUCCAGGCUGGUCACCAAUUCCUGGCUUCAACUGAUCCUCCCACCUCAAGCCUCCUGAGUAGCUGGGAUCACAGGCACAAGCCACUGGACCCAGCUUUAAUUGUUUAAGUGUUUCAUAGAAUUCAUUAUUGAAGCCAUUUGGGUCUGGGCUUUUUUGAUUACUUAUUUUGAUUAUUAAUUCAAUCUCUAUUUGUUGUAGGUCUAUUCAGAUCAUCUGUUUGUGUCUUUAGAGGAAUUUGUCCGUUUUAUUUAAGUUACAGUGUUUUGGGCGUAAGCAAUUUUAAGGAGAAAGUUAUCCUUAACCAAGAUGGGAAAGGUCGAGGCAGGGUGGUACAGGGAUUUUACCUCCCACCAGGUAUCUCCCACAAACUCCCCCUAAUAUAAUACCGGCGGAGUUUGGGCUGUGGCUUUGGCUGUGUUGAGUCUCAGAUGCCUGUUGGGCCUCCUCAUGGAAACGCUGGUGGGCGAUUGGAUGAGCAAGUCACCGGCGUGGCCCAGGUUGGAGACUGGGAAUUGUCACCACAGAGAGAGCCUUUAGAGCUGUGAGACAGGAGGAGGCGCCAAGGAGCCAUUGCUCAGGUGGAGGGGAAGUCGAGGCAUGGUGCUUGGGCCUAGGGGCAGCACUUGGGAGUAGUCAGCCUGAAAGGUGAGAAGCCAGGAGAGGGGUCCCCAGCUUAUGGCCUGGGAGCUAACUCAGAUUUGGCGAGUGCAGGUUUUGUGGAAUGGUGGUGUAUUAGUCCGUUUUCACGGUGCUAAUAAAGACACACCCGACACUGGGCAAUUUACAAAAGACAGAGGUUUAGUGACUUACAGUUCCACAUGGCUGGGGAGGCCUCACAAUCAUGGUGGAAGGCAAGGAGGAGCAAGUCACAUCUUACGUGGAUGGCGGCAGGCAAAGAGCGAGAUUGGGCAGGGAAACUCCCCCUAAUAUGAUACUGUCAGAUCUCGUGAGACUUACUCACUAUCACGAGAACAGCAUGGGAAAGACCUGCCCCAUGAUUCAAUUACCUCCCACCGGGUCCCUCCCACAGCAUGUGCAAAUUCAAGAUGAGAUAUGGGUGGGGACAAAAGACAGGCAGGAGUUCCGAGGAUGAGUAUUUGCAUUCUGUCCCUGAGUUUGCUGUAAAGGAGAGCAGCGAGACAGAGGCAUGGGGUGCGGAAUGGCGUGUUUAAGAUGGAGUGAUGACAGGUGCCCGUUGGAGUGAUGCAGUAGACAGGAUCUGAUGAUGGGGAGCAGGUGUCGUGUGCCCUUGAGCAGGAGCCCAGCAGAGAGACCCUUUUUCCUCCUGUAGCAGCAGAAGAGAAGGCAGCAGGGUGCAGGACUGAAGGAGGGCUGGGCUGGGCUGGGAUGGGAGCCUGGCUGGUUUUCCCCUGGUGGCCCUAUGACUGGUUAAGGGCAGGGCAGAGGCACGGCAGGUUGGAGGCACAGAAGGCCCAAGAUAGUUAUCUGGGCUGGAUGUGGGGCGGUAUUCUCGCCUCUCUGGGGACAUCCCUUAAGUGGACAGGAAGACUGGGUGGUUCAGGUGUAUGUCCACUCACCAAGAACACAGGAUGAAGGUGGGGCCUAGACAGUGGCUGUUUUGACCAGGGCAGAACAGUUGAGGGCAUGUGAGAGGGCCCAUGCUGACGCCAGACCUCAGUGGGGAGAGGGGAGAGUCCAGGGACCAGAGGUCCCCCUAGGCUUAAAGGACAAACCACAAGGAGAAGAGGAAGAAGUCUCUAUGUCAUUAAAGUUUCAUUAUCAGGGCUGCUAUAAUGCUUCUCAUUGCUUAUUAUAAAACCCAAUUCUGCAAGACCAGCCUAGCCAACAUGGUGAAACUCUGUCUACUAAAAAUACAAAAAUUAGCUGGGCGUGGUGGCAUGUGCCUGUAAUCUCAGCUACUCAGGAGGCUGAGGCAGGAGAAUUGCUUAAACCUGGGAGGCAGAGGUUGCAGUGAGCCAAGAUCGUGCCACUGUACUCCAGCCUGGGAGACAGAGGGAGACUCCAUCUCAAAAACGAAACAAAACAAAAAAAAAAACUAAUUCUGGCCCAGCGUGGUAGUUCACACCUGUAAUCUCAGCACUUUGGGAGGCCAAGGCAGAAGGAUCGCUUGAGCGCAGGAGUUCAAGACCAUUCUGGGCAACAAAAUAAGACCCCACCUCUACAAAAAAUAAAAAAAAUAGAAGGAAGCAAUAGUGUGCACCUGGGGUCCCAGCUACUCAGGAGGCUGAGGUAGGAGGAUCACUUGAGCCCAGAAGGUCGAGGCUACAGUGAGCCGGGAUUGUGCCACUGUACUUCAGCCUGGGUGACAAAACAAGACCCUCUGACUCAAAAAAAAGAAAAAGAGAAAAAUAUUUUUGUUAGAGCAAAACAGGCUGACCUUUUUUUCGGGUUUUUUUUGGUUUGUUUUUGUUUUUUUGAGAUGGAGUCUCGCUCUGUCGCCCAGGCUGGAGUGCAGUGGCACGAUUUCGGCUCACUGCAAGCUCUGCCUCCCGAGUUCACGCCAUUCUCCUGCCUCAGCCUCCCAAGUAGCUGGGACUACAGGCGCCCACCACCACGCCCGGCUAAUUUUUUGUAUUUUUAGUAGAGACGGGGUUUCACCGUGUUAGCAGGAUGGUCUCGAUCUCCUGACCUCGUGAUCCACCCGUCUUGGCCUCCCAAAGUGCUAGGAUUACAGGCAUGAGCCACUGCGCCCAGCCCUUUUUUUCGUUUUUAAUGUUGAGACUAGGUUACAGCAUUAUUAGAUACAAUGAAGGUAGAGGGAAGGUGCUCAGAACUCUCCUACAAGCAUAGCAGCUGCUCAGGCACAGCUCCAGUGACUCCAGGGCCCAGCCUUCUGGGGAGGAGUUGGAUGGGCAUAUUCCUUGAGGGGCUCCCACCUGCCCACAGAGAGCACAAGAGGAGAACUCAUCCUGUUUGCCCUGCUUUUCCCAUCUUGUUCCUAGACAUCCUGAGGUUCCCACCAAGUGGACAUUGGCUUAUUCUACAAGCAACAGGAUGAGGCCCCUGGACUCCUCACUAGCAAAAUAGUGCAGUGACAGCAACACCCCCCCCCACACACACACACACAAAGAUGUCCACAUCUUAAUUCCUGGAACCUGUGAAUGUGUGACCUUACCUGGUGUCUUAGUUCAUUUGUGCCACUGUAACAAAAUACCACAGACUGGGUAAUUUAUAAACAAUAUAAAUUUGUUUCUCAUGGUUCUGAAGGCUGGGAAGUCCAAGAUCAAGGCACUGGCAUGUCCUGUGUCUGGUGAGAGCACUUCGUUACUGUUUCCUCUGGAGGGAAGAAUGCUGUGUCCUCACAAGGUGGGAUGGACAGAGGGGCAAGAAAAGGCCAAACUCCACAGGAAGCCUCUUUUAUAAGAGGAGCCCUCGUGACCUAGUCCGAAAUGGCCCCACCUCUUCUUUCACCACAAUGGGGACCAAGUUUGUUGUUAGUUAACCUAAAUGACAGAGGAGCUCUCUAAAGAGAUAUUUAUUCAGGAAUAGGGCCUUGCAACGGGAACACGUAUAUUACGGUAACUGCAUGUUCAAGGAAGACAAAAGUUUUAAAGGAAGAAAGGAAGAUUACAUAAUCAUUUUGAAAUGAUACUCUUGACUGCAAAGAUUAAUAGCAAGGGAGACACCGGUCCAAGUUUGGAAGGUAGCUGCUGGGCAGGUAUCCUUGCAGAAGUAUUUUCUUGUGUAAGAUUUCAGCGGCCUUGGCCAGGUGUGGUGGCUCACGCCUAUAAUCCUAGUAGUUUGGGAGGCUGAGGUGGGUUAAUCACUUGAAGUCAGGAGUUCAAGACCAGCCUGGCUAACAUAGUGAAACUCUGUCUUCACUAAAAAUACAAAAAUUAGCCGGGCAUGGUGAUGCAUACCUCUAAUCCCAGCUACUCAGGAGGCUGAGGCAGGAGAAUCACUUGAACCCGGGAGGCAGAGGUUGCAGUAAGCCAAGAUUGCACCACUGCACUCCAGCCUGGGCGACAGAGCAAGACUUGGGCUCAAAAAAAAAAAAAAAAAAUUCAAUGGCCUUUGUGCAAGGUUGUGGGUUUUGUGGUCUUUUGUGAUAGUUUUUGUUAUCGGGCAUAUGGACCCUCUCUUCAUGGCCUUCCCUAGCUCUAUUUGUUAGGGUUUUCUUAACAUUAGUCACUCUGUUUUGAUUCUGACAACUUUCAGUUUCAACAUGAAUUUUGGAGGGGAUGCCAUCUUUUAAAUCAUCGUACCUGGUAAAAGGGACUUUGGAGAUGGGAUUAAGUGAAGGGCCUUCAGAUGGGGGGUUAUCCUGCGCUAUCCAGGUAGGUCCCAUAUAAUCACGAUCAUGAGAGGGAGGUAGGAGCUUCACAGUUGGACAGAAGAUGUGACCACAGAAGCAGGGGUCAGAGGAGGGAAGAUGCUGGCUUUGAAGGCAGAGGAAGGGGCCACAAGCCAAGGAAUGUGGAGACCCCUAGAAGCUGGAAAAGGCAGGGACAGAUUCUCCCCUACCCUAGAGCCUCCAGAAGGAGCCAGCCCUGCCAACACCUUGACUUUACCUCAGUGAGAUAAUUUAGACUUCUGACCUCAGAACUGUAAGAGAAUAAAUGCUUGUGUUUCGACCACUGAAUUUUUGGUAAUUUGCCAUAGCAGCUGCAGGAAACAUAUACACAUGGUGACUAGUUACUGAGUUCCUUCCCCAGACACACUCAGGAGCAUGUAACCACCACAGCCUCCUAGUGGAAGCACAGGUCCUGCAGAGAGGCCAUGCCUGUGCACCCCAGGAGCCAAGGCCACCCUCCUGCACAGGGCACCACCCCUUGCACCUGCACACUCCAGCCUCCACACAGCCCUUGGUCAGGGCUGGGUACACCAGGGAAUGUUUCAAAGUAAAGCAUCCCUUACUGUGGUCAUUCUCAGCACUUUUUUUCUGGAAAGACAGAUAUGACAGAAUAUGUUCAUGUGUGACAUGGGCCCAUGGGGGUGUUUGGGAUAGUUAUCAUAUCCAGCACACCGAGAAGGUUGAUAUUGAGAACUGGGACAGGAAAAAAUACCAUCUUUAUCAUCACUGGCCUUUAACCAAAAUUUAACAUUUUCCUGAAUUAUGAAUCUAGGCAACCAACUGCUGCAGCAGCAUCAGCAGUGUCCGGGACUCCACCUCCUACAGAAGUCGUGGAUGUCUCACAUCACAUCACCAUUGCUGCAGAUGCCACAGAAUACCAUUCUGCUCAUCAUUGCUCCAAAAUUACCAUAACUCCUGGACCAGCUGCUUGAUUACAUUAUUUAAUGCAUUCAUAAAGAGGCACAUGCAGUACUGUACCACCGUUUAAAAUUUGUGAUGAAAGUACUUUAAUUUCAUUUUUAAUUUUGUAGGCAUUAAAAGCAUUAUCUGAAUCUCAAAGAAAAGUCCAAGACCUGAUGGUUUCCUGGUGAAUUCUACCAAACGUGUAAAGAAGAACUAAUACGAGCCCUUCAUAAACAUUUCCAAAAAACUGAAGAGAAGGGAACACUUCUUAACGCAUUCUAUGAGGCCAGCAUUACCCUGGUACCAAAGCCAGACAUACACAUGACAAGAAAAGAAAACUACAGACCAAUAUUCCUUAUGAACACUGAUGCAAAAAACCUCAACAAAGUACUGGCAAACUUCAGCGGCAUAUUGAAAGGAUUAUACACUAUGACCAAGGAGAUUUAUUCCUGGAAUUCAAGGAUGGCUUAGUAUACAAAAAAAAAAAAAUCAGUGUACUACACUAUACUAACAGCAUGAAGGAAAAAACUACAUGAUCAUCUCAAUUGAUGCAGAAAAAGCAUUUGACAAAACAACACCCUUUCAUGAUAAAACCACUCAACAGAUUAGGACUGGAAGGCAACUACCUCAACAUAAUAGAAGCCAUUUAUGCAAAGCCCACAUCUAACACUGCUCAGUGAUGAAAGGCUGAAAACUUUUCCUGUAAAAUCAGGAAUAAGAGGCCGGGUGCGGUGGCUCACGCCUGUAAUCUCAGCACUUCGGGAGGCCAAGGCGAGUGGAUCAGCUGAAGUUGGGAGUUCAAGACCGGCCUAAGCAACGUGGAGAAACCAUGUCUCUACUAAAAAUAGAAAACUAGCCAGGCGUGGUGGUGUACACCUGUAAUCCCAGCUACUCCGGAGGCUGCGACAGGAGAAUCGCUUGAACCCAGGAGGCAGAGGUUGUGGUGAGCCAAGAUCGCACCAUUGCACUCCAGCCUGGGCAACAAGAGCAAUACUCCAUCUGAAAAAAAAUUAAAAUCAGGAAUAAGGCAAAAAUAUCCACUUUUGUCCCUUCUAUUAAGAUCUAGCCAGAGCAAUUAGGCAAGAAAAAUAAAAGACAUCCAAAUGGAAAAGGGAGAAGUAAAAUUAUCUCUGUUUACAGAUUAUAUGAUCCUAUAUGAAGAAAAUCCUAAAGAUUCCACAGAAGAUCUGUUAGAACUAGUGAAUGAAUUCAGCAAAGCAGUAGGAUGCAAAGAACAAUCUGAAAAGGAAAUUAUGAAAACAAUUCUAUGUACAAUAGCAUAAAAAGAAUAAAACAAGAUUAAGGCAGUGAAAGCUACAAAACAUUACUGAAAGAAAUUAAGACACAGAUAAAUGGAGAGACAUUUUGUGUUCAUGGGCUGGAAGACUUAAUAUGGUUAAGAUGUCAGUACUACCCAAAGCAAUCUACAGAUUUAAUGCAGUCCCUAUAAAAUCCCAAUGACAUUUUUUGCAGGAACAGAAAAACAUCUUAAAAUUCAUUUGGAAUCUCAAGGGACCCUGACUAGCCAAAACAGUCUGAAAAAGAACAAAGUUUAAGGACUUUCACUUCCUGAUCUCAAAACUUUCUACACAGCUAUAGUAAGCAAUGUGGCACUGGCAUAAAGACAGACAUAGAAACCAAUGGGAUAGAAUAGCGAGCCCAGAAACAAACCCUUGCAUACAUGGCCAGAUGAUUUUUUAAUAAGGGUGCCAAGACCAUUCAGUGGGGAAAGGACAGUCUUUUUCAGCAAAUGAUGCUGGGAAUACUAGAUAUCCACACACAGAAAAAUAAAGUUUGGCCCUUACCUUACCACAGAUAGAUUCAAAAUGGAUCCAAGACCUAAAUGUAAGAUCCAAAACUAUAAAAUUCUAAGAAGAAAAUAAAGGGCAAAGCCAGGCACAGUGGCUCGUGCCUGUAAUGCCAGCACUUUGGGAGGCUGAGAAAGGAGGACUCAUCCCCCGAGGCCGGGUGUGGUGGCUCACGCCUAUAAUCCCAGCACUUUGGGAGGCCGAGGCAGGUGGAUCACGAGGUCAAGAGAUCAAGACCAUCCUGGCCAAAGUGGUGAAACCCCAUCUCUACUAAAAAUACAAAAAUUGGCUGGGUGUGGUGGCAUGUGCUGGUAGUCCCAGCUACUCAGGAGGCUGAGGCAGGAGAAUCGCUUAAACCCAGGAGGUAGAUAGAGGUUGCAGUGAGCUGAGAUUGCACCACCGCACUGCAGCCUGGCAACAGCGAGACUCUGUCUCAAAAAAUAGGAGGACCUCUUGAGCCCAGGAGUUUGAAACCAACCUGGGCAACAGAGAGAGAGACCCUGUCUCUACAAUAAAUUUUAAAAUGAGCCAGGUGUGGUGCACACCUGUAGUCCCAGUUACUCAGGAGGCUGAGGUGGGAGGAUCACUUGAGUCCCGGAGUUUGAGGCUGCAGUGAGCCGUGAUUACACCACUGCACUCCAUCCUGGAUGACAGAGCAAGACCCUGUAGCAAAAAAAAAGAAAAAGAAAAAUAUAGGGCAAAAGCUUCGUAACACUGAAUUUGGCGAUGAUUUCUUGGAUAUGACACCAAAGGCCCAGGCAACAAAAGAAAAGAUAAAUUGGACAUCAUGAAAAUCAAAACAUUGCUUUCAUUAAAAGACACUGUCAGCAGAAGCUGGGCAUGGUGGCUCAUGCCUGUAAUCCUAGCACUUUGGGAGGCCGAGGCUGGUGGAUCACUUGACCUCAGGAGUUGGAGACCAGCCUGGGCAACAUGGUGAAACCCCAUCUCUACAAAAAAACACAAAAAUUAGCCAGGCAUGGUGGCUCAUUCCUAUAGUCCCAGCUGCUUGCAGAGCUGAGGCAAGAGGAUCGCUUGAGCCCAGGAGGCAGAGGUUGCAGUGAGCCGAGAUUGUGCUACUGCACUCCAGCCUGGGUGACAGAGUGAGACUGUCUCAAAAAAAAAACAAAACAAAAGAGUAGAAAGACAACCUACAAAAUGGGAGAAAAUAUUUGCAAAUAUUGUAUCUGAAAAGGGAUUAAUAUCCAAGACUCCUAAAACUCAAAAAUAGAAAACCAAACAACGUGGUUAAAAAAUGAGCAACAGACUUGCAUAGACGCUUCUCCAAAAAAGAUACACAGAUGGCCAAGAAGCACAUGAAAAGAUGCUCAACAUCACUAGUCAGUAGGGAAAUGCAAACCAAAAACCACGAGAGACCCCCUCCCAGCCACUGGAAUGGCUGCUACCAAAAAACUAGAAAAUAGCAAGUACCAGGGAGGAUGUAGAGAAACGAGAAGCCCUGUGCACUGUUGCUGGGAAUGUAAAAUGGUGCAGCCACUGUGAAAAACAGCAUGGAAGUUCCUCAGACAAUUAAACAGAAUUACCAUGGGACCCUGUAAUUGAAAGCAGGGUCUCCAAGGGGUGUUUGGACACCCCAGUUCACGGCAGCUUAUUCCACUUGGGUGGAAACAGCUGAAGUGUCUGUGGACAGAUGGAUAAGGAAAAUGCGGCCUCACCACACAAGAAAAUACUACUCAGCCCUAAAAAGGAAGAAAACUCUGACCCACACUACAAUACGGAUGAGCCUUGAGAACAUUAUGCAGAGUGAAAUGAGCCAGUCAUGAAAGGACACAUCCUGUAGUCCCACUCAUUGGCAGUCCCCAGAGUCAUCAGAUUCAUAGAGACAAGAAGUAGAAAGCCCGUGGCAACCACCCAUCUUUGUGUCUCUGUGGAUUCGCCUGUUGUGGACAUUUCAUAGAAAUGGAAUCAAGACAACAUGUGGACCUUCAUGCCUGGCUUGUCCUGCUCAGCAUGAUGCCUUCAAGGUUCACGCGUGUCGCUGCGUCAGGGCUCACCUCCUCGUGUGCCGAACACCCCAUUGUCUGGGUGACCACAUGUUGCCCCCCUACUCCUCCA
rnacentral:lncRNA from 1 species